UUUCCUUAGGGCAGCUGUGAUGGGAUCAUGCACUUUGAAUUUUAGCUGAUCAUGCUUUUGUUGUGGAUUUUUGUGAUAUCGUCAAUGCCUAGCAAGUUCAACAAAACCAACAGGAAGGAUGAUCUUGGUCAACUCAGUGACUGCAAGGUGCACGGGUCCUGUGGCUGCAAAACAAUCCAAACUUAUCACCUCCCCUUCACCAUCAUGCUUAAUGCUGGGGAUCCAGACAGUCAUUGGAGGCUCGUGCCUGAGUUUUGGGAAGCGACGGAGUCAUCAGUGACCCAGAUGCCCUGAUCUUCUGUCCAUCAAAGCCUCUGUUUUAGGCCUGAAAUACGCUCAUCUCCCAGAAGCUAUGCCUGUCACUGUCUGGGCUCCCGUCAGAAAUUUUCUGACUAAGAGCCUUGCGGUCUGCAGUGGCACGAUAACAAAAACAUCUCUUCCCUGUUAGGCUGCAAGCUCCUCUCCCCUCUCAUGGUAAAAAUAACAUCAGGCCCAGAAUAUUAAAGAGGGAUUUUUUGGGGGGGUGAUAUUUAUCGUCUAUAAUUGCAUUGCCACACCUGAUUUUGUGUUCUUUCUGUGUGUGAAGCAAGUGGCUGCUACUAGUGGGUUACAGUUGCCAUGGUUUCUUCUGUUUUGAUCAUUCUUAUAUAAUGUUAUUGGUGACUGGUUGCUGUGAAAAAUGAGCACACACACACACACACACACACACACAUUCUCAGUUUAUGUCAGUAAAUGUUGCUAACCACCCCCACAUUCUUGUCCUUCCUCGAAGAGAGCAGCCCGAGGACAAACAACAGCUCCUCUCACAUCAUCUUCCUCUCUCCUAUACUCAUCACACCCUCUGUCUCUUUCUCUCUCCUUAUCGCUCUCUCAUUGCCUCUCUCAAGUCUUCCCUUCUUCCAGCUUUAUUGUCACCAUUUUCUCUCCUCCCCUGCCCCACUUCUCCUCGAUCCACUUUAUCUCUCUCAGUCAUAGCAGCAUUGAUUUUCACAGGGCCUCUCCCCUGUCAUAUCUCCACAUCUCUUAAUUCGCACACACUCCUUGUCUCUACACCUUGCAGAUUUGUUUUCAUUUUAACACAAACACACACCACCUCAUGCACACACACAGUCUUGUAUCCAGGACACAUUACAAUGCCUUGCAUUCAUUUCCUCCAGUCUUACUUUAACCUUUUCCAGAGCCACUACUUACCUAACCCUGACCUUAAAAUAUGUCUUCACCUUAUGGGAACUUGUGUUUUGGCCUCAGAAGGAAGACAGGUCAUAAUGUGACUAUGUAAACAGAGUUAGGUCCUCACAUUAUGAGUAAUACCAAACUUGUGGGUACACACACACACCCUCACCAAUGUCCUUUUUUUCUAUCUCCAGCUGUCUGGAGCCAGCCACACACACACUCUGUCUUCCCCCUCCAGAGAUGAUUUUUAUUAAUCUCUUUUUCUACUUUUCCAUCAGUCUCCUCUAAAAUACACAGCAUCUCCAUCCCACUAAGCUCUGUCACC